ACAUGAAGGACAAGUAAAAUUAAUUGGAUUACAAAAAUUAUUUUAAAAAUUUAAAAUCUCUUUGAUAAUAUAAAAGGUAAAAUUAGACUCUAUUAUUUGAUAUAUAUUUGAAAUUAUUAUAAAAAAUUAACUUGAAAAAAUUAAAGUAUAAACUAGGAUUAGAUACCCUAUUAUAUUUAAUUGAAACUUAAUAAAUCUUGAUCAUUAACAGAUAUAUUCUUUAAAAUUAAAGAAUUUGGCGGUAUUUUAGUCUCUUUAGAGGAACCUGUUUUAUAAUCGAUACUCCACGUAAAAUCUUACUUAUUUAAUUAGUUUGUAUACCGUCAUUAUUAGAUAACUUUUAUAGAAAUAGAUAUCAAAAAUUAAAAAAAUAAAAAAUAUUAGAUCAAGGUGCAGCCUAUAAAUAAGGAAAAAUGGGUUACAAUACUACUUAUUACACGAAAUUUAAUGUAAAAUCAUUAGAUAAAGGUGGAUUUAAUUGUACGAUUUUUUUAAUAAGUGAAGCUGAUAUUAGCUCUAAAAUAUGUACACAUCGCC
rnacentral:rRNA from 1 species